ensembl:lncRNA
GGUAUGAAUGUUAGCGCGUAUUUCUGUAAUCAUUUUUAGUUUAGUGUGUUAUGUGUAAUUGUCUGUGUGCAGUUCCUCAUCUGUUUAGCCUGUCCCUGCACUGUGCCAGGACCCAGGGACCCUGCUGACACUACGCCAGGACCUGUGGACUACAGGUUCACAGCGACAUCAUUAUCUGUGUCUGUUCAACCAAGAAGACAGGAAGGCCAAAAUGGUGGACAACGAAAGAAGGAAAGGAAGAAAGAAAAAGACAGAGAAGAAAGGAAAGAAAGACGCGAAUCCAGAAAGAAAGAGAGAAAAAGGCAAAGACGCAGAAAAAAAAUUUAACAUGAAGAUCUUUUCUUCGCUGUGACAGAGCAGAAAAAGGCCC